AUUGAACGCUGGCGGCAGGCCUGACACAUGCAAGUCGAGCGGAUGAAGGGAGCUUGCUCCUGGAUUCAGCGGCGGACGGGUGAGUAAUGCCUAGGAAUCUGCCUGGUAGUGGGGGAUAACGUCCGGAAACGGGCGCUAAUACCGCAUACGUCCUGAGGGAGAAAGUGGGGGAUCUUCGGACCUCACGCUAUCAGAUGAGCCUAGGUCGGAUUAGCUAGUUGGUGGGGUAAAGGCCUACCAAGGCGACGAUCCGUAACUGGUCUGAGAGGAUGAUCAGUCACACUGGAACUGAGACACGGUCCAGACACUUACGGGAGGCAGCAGUGGGGACUAUUGGACGAUGGGCGAAAGCCUGAUCCAGCCAUGCCGGGUGGUGGAAGAAGGUCUUCGUAUUGAAAAGCACUUUAAGUUUGGAGGAAGGGAAGUAAGUUAAUACCUUGCUGUUUUGACGUUACCCACAGAAUAAGCUCCGGCUAACUUCGUG
rnacentral:rRNA from 1 species